ensembl:misc_RNA
CUGACAGCACUAGAGACUGAAGUCCUGUAUAUAUACACACCCAAGAGAUGUACAACACAGGCUACAACAAUGCAUGCUUUCCCACACUGUCUUGCCAAUACAUAUCACCCUUAGAGUACACUUGCUUUAGAAAGAAAUUCAGUAUCCAAACCCAUUCAAAUCUUUGAUCUC